rnacentral:rRNA from 1 species
GACGAACGCUGGCGGCGUGCCUAAUACAUGCAAGUUGAGCGCUGAAGGUUGGUACUUGUACCAACUGGAUGAGCAGCGAACGGGUGAGUAACGCGUGGGGAAUCUGCCUUUGAGCGGGGGACAACAUUUGGAAACGAAUGCUAAUACCGCAUAAAAACUUUAAACACAAGUUUUAAGUUUGAAAGAUGCAAUUGCAUCACUCAAAGAUGAUCCCGCGUUGUAUUAGCUAGUUGGUGAGGUAAAGGCUCACCAAGGCGAUGAUACAUAGCCGACCUGAGAGGGUGAUCGGCCACAUUGGGACUGAGACACGGCCCAAACUCCUACGGGAGGCAGCAGGAGGGAAUCUUCGGCAAUGGACGAAAGUCUGACCGAGCAACGCCGCGGGAGUGAAGAAGGGUUUCGGAUCGUAAAACUCUGUUGGUAGAGAAGAACGUUGGUGAGAGUGGAAAGCUCGUCAAGUGACGGUAACUACACAGAAAGGGACGGCUAACUACGUG